rnacentral:rRNA from 1 species
GGAAUUACUGGGCGUAAAGCGCGCGUAGGCGGCUUUGUAAGUUAGAGGUGAAAGCCCGGAGCUCAACUCCGGAACUGCCUUCGAUACUGGCGACCUUUGAGUCCGGGAGAGGUGGGUGGAACUGCGAGUGUAGAGGUGAAAUUCGUAGAUAUUCGCAAGAACACCAGUGGCGAAGGCGGCUCACUGGCCCGGUACUGACACUGAGGUGCGAAAGCGUGGGGAGCAAACAG